rnacentral:rRNA from 1 species
CGAGCGAGACCCGCGCGAGCCAUUUUCGGAUGGGGAGCGCGGUGGAAGCGGCGGACGGGUGAGUAACGCGUAGGCAACCUGCCCCUUGCAGGGGGACAGCCUCGGGAAACCGGGAUUAAGACCCCAUGACCCGGGAUGGCGGCAUCGCCAGCCCGGCAAAGAUUCAUCGGCAAGGGAUGGGCCUGCGUCUGAUUAGCUAGUUGGCGGGGUGACGGCCCACCAAGGCGACGAUCAGUAGCCGGCCUGAGAGGGUGAACGGCCACAUUGGAACUGAGACACGGUCCAAACUCCUACGGGAGGCAGCAGUGGGGAAUAUUGCACAAUGGGCGGAAGCCUGAUGCAGCAACGCCGCGUGAGCGAUGAAGGCCCUUGGGUCGUAAAGCUCUGUCCAUGGGGAAGAAGAGAUGACGGUACCCGUGGAGGAAGCCCCGGCUAACUACGUGCCAGCAGCCGCGGUAAUACGUAGGGGGCGAGCGUUAUCCGGAAUCAUUGGGCGUAAAGAGUGCGUAGGCGGCUGCCUAAGCGCGGGGUUUAAGGCGACGGCCCAACCGUCGCAGGCCCUGCGAACUGGGCGGCUUGAGUGCGGGAGAGGAAAGCGGAAUUCCUAGUGUAGCGGUGAAAUGCGUAGAUAUUAGGAGGAACACCGGUGGCGAAGGCGGCUUUCUGGACCGAAACUGACGCUGAGGCACGAAAGCGUGGGGAGCAAACAGGAUUAGAUACCCUGGUAGUCCACGCCGUAAACGAUGAGCACUAGGUGUCGGGGCCGCAAGGCCUCGGUGCCGCAGCCAACGCAAUAAGUGCUCCGCCUGGGGAGUACGCACGCAAGUGUGAAACUCAAAGGAAUUGACGGGGACCCGCACAAGCAGCGGAGCAUGUGGUUUAAUUCGAAGCAACGCGAGAACCUUACCAGGCUUGACAUCCUCCCGCAGCGGGGUAAUGCCCGCCCUCCUUCGGGCGGGGAGACAGUGUGCAUGGUGUCGUCAGCUCGUGUCGUGAGAUGUGGUAAGUCCCGCA